rnacentral:tRNA from 1 species
GCAUUGGUGGUUCAGUAGUAGAAUUCUCCCCUUCCAUGUAGGAGACCAGGGAUGAAUUCCUGGCCAAUGCA